AUCAUCACUUCCCAGUUCCGGAAGCAAGGGUUUUAUCGUUUGAAGAAGAUUAAUCAUCAACCCAACGAGGACAGGUAAGUGGUCGCAUAAACAACUUCUCCAAAGCCAGCCAACACUGUUAUGGAUCAGCGAGGGCAUGGGCAGCAUUCUGCAGCAGGUGAGGUUGGAAGUACGGCUCCCGUCCCAUAUGGCAUAUCUUCGUAUCAACCUAACCAGAUGAUGGGGCCUUCUGCCACUGGAUCACUUCAAUCUGCUGCUCAGCCAUCAGGUGUCACUGCAUCUCAAGCUCAGCUUGCUCAGCACCAACUUGCUUAUCAGCAUAU
rnacentral:misc_RNA from 1 species